rnacentral:rRNA from 1 species
UACGUAGGGUGCAAGCGUUGUCCGGAAUUAUUGGGCGUAAAGAGCUCGUAGGCGGUUUGUCGCGUCUGCUGUGAAAACGCGAGGCUCAACCUCGCGCCUGCAGUGGGUACGGGCAGACUAGAGUGCGGUAGGGGAGGAAUUGGAAUUCCUGGUGUAGCGGUGGAAUGCGCAGAUAUCAGGAGGAACACCGGUGGCGAAGGCGGGUCUCUGGGCGAGUAACUGACGCUGGAGGAGCGAAAGCGUGGGGAGCGAACAGG